AUGGCGCGCAUGGCGUCCAGCGCCGGCUGCUCAAGCUCGUCCAGGGUGUUGACGAUGACGGCGGCCGCGCGGCCCGCCUGCUCCGAGUGGUGCAGCAGGAAGUUGAGCAUCACGUCGUCGCGGUCGGUGGUGCAGAUGAAGGAAGGGAAGUCCCGGAGGCGCAUGUGCCGGCUCAUCCCGGGAGCCUGCGCCACCGGCGUGUCCAGGUACCCGUUGCUCAGCUGCGCUUCAUCUGCUCCACGUCCACGACCACCACGACCACCACGACUAGCAUAUAUUAGCAGUUACCACGUACGUAUAUACUGCAGUACUGGAGAGGUGAGGUACGCUCUACGUACCUUUGAGGGGAGCGAUGCCCUCUUGCAUGAGGAACCGGAAGUUGCGGUAGCCAAUGUAGCCGCAGGCGCUGGCGGUCCAGAAGAGGACGCACGGCACCCCGAUCUCCGCCGCCGCGUCCACGCUGAAGCUCAUCACGUUGUCCGCCACCACGCACGUCACCGGCGGCCCAACCCUGUUAAGCUCCCCGAGCAGCCUCUUCAAGGGGGGAAGGCAGGUGGUCAUCGUGGAGUAGCACAGGGAGGGUAUGUCCUGCGUGGCAUCCGCGUCCGAUGGCGGCAGGCCGUCGGGGAUGGUGGCGAAGCGGAAGUCCGGGAGGCCCUCCACGGCUGCGUCGCCGCGGGAGCGGACCAGGCGCCGGUGGUUGUACUCGGUGUUGACGAAGGUGAUGUGGAAGCCCUUGCAGUGAAGAAGCUUGGCCAGCUUCAGCAUGGGCGUGACGUGCCCCUGCGUCGGCAACGGCACGAUCACCGCGUGAGGCUUCUUCAUCUCCAUGUUCUCGACCUCGACAGAUCGUGCGCUCUUGAGGACCCCUUACUGCUUAUAUAUAUAUACUCCUACUAUGUGCUUCCUCUUUCCCAAAUUAUAUAA
rnacentral:rRNA from 1 species